CCUACGGGUGGCAGCAGUGGGGAAUAUUGGGCAAUGGGCGCAAGCCUGACCCAGCAACGCCGCGUGAAGGAAGAAGGCUUUCGGGUUGUAAACUUCUUUUAAGAGGGAAGAGCAGAAGACGGUACCUCUUGAAUAAGCCACGGCUAACUACGUGCCAACAGCCGCGGUAAUACGUAGGUGGCAAGCGUUGUCCGGAUUUACUGGGUGUAAAGGGCGUGUAGCCGGGCUGACAAGUCAGAUGUGAAAUACGGGGGCUCAACCCCCGAACUGCAUUUGAAACUGUUGGUCUUGAGUAUCGGAGAGGCAGGCGGAAUUCCUAGUGUAGCGGUGAAAUGCGUAGAUAUUAGGAGGAACACCAGUGGCGAAGGCGGCCUGCUGGACGACAACUGACGGUGAGGCGCGAAAGCGUGGGGAGCAAACAGGAUUAGAUACCCCUGUAGCC
rnacentral:rRNA from 1 species